GAUGAACGCUGGCGGCGUGCCUAAUACAUGCAAGUCGAGCGAUUGGAUUAAGAGCUUGCUCUUAUGAAGUUAGCGGCGGACGGGUGAGUAACACGUGGGUAACCUGCCCAUAAGACUGGGAUAACUCCGGGAAACCGGGGCUAAUACCGGAUAAUAUUUUGAACUGCAUGGUUCAAAAUUGAAAGGCGGCUUCGGCUGUCACUUAUGGAUGGACCCGCGUCGCAUUAGCUAGUUGGUGAGGUAACGGCUCACCAAGGCAACGAUGCGUAGCCGACCUGAGAGGGUGAUCGGCCACACUGGGACUGAGACACGGCCCAGACUCCUACGGGAGGCAGCAGUAGGGAAUCUUCCGCAAUGGACGAAAGUCUGACGGAGCAACGCCGCGUGAGUGAUGAAGGCUUUCGGGUCGUAAAACUCUGUUGUUAGGGAAGAACAAGUGCUAGUUGAAUAAGCUGGCACCUUGACGGUACCUAGCCAGAAAGCCACGGCUAACUACGUGCCAGCCGCCGCCGUAA
rnacentral:rRNA from 1 species